AAGUCGUAACAAGGUUUCCGUAGGUGAACCUGCGGAAGGAUCAUUAACACGUAUCCACGUAUCAACACUCUGUGAACUAAACUCUCCCUGAUUUUAGAAAAUUGUUAACAUAAUUAAUGGUGGGUGUAUAGCCUAAAAAACUAUACGCAAUUAUGUUGACUAGGGUUUCGAACCCGGUAUUUUCUUUAAUUGGGCUUAUCAUUUCCUCCAUUACCAAAACAACCAUUAUCACUCUAUAAAACAUUUUGACUGAUGUACUUAUGUAAGAGAAAUCUGGCAUGAGUUUUUAUCUAAACUAAGCACAACUCUUAGCAAUGGAUAUCUUGGUUCUC
rnacentral:misc_RNA from 1 species